AUGCGUAUUUACACUUAUUGAGGGCAUUGAAGGAAGCGUCCCCAGUAGUACCUACAAGCUUUAACGUUCCUGCUCUGCCCUAUUUAUACUGGCCUCUAAACUGUGAUCCGAACCGUUAAACUUGCUCACUCAGAAGAUCUCUAGCUAGUCAUUUGCGGCUCGAAAAUUCAGCAUUGAGAAGAAAUAGAGAAAUCUUCAAAAUUCCUUGUGAUUGCUUCAGAAGGAGAAGCAAUAGCAAAGCUGGAAGCCUCAAGAGUCCUACCGUACCAGCUGAAGCAUUGAUAACAGCUCUGGACUGGUUUUGAAAGGCGUUAGGUGUGAGGCGCCCAUGAAUUGCCAAUGGGAGUCUGGGCGAUCAAAGGAGGCGGAAGCACAAUAAUUUAGGGUGGACCGUUCCCAAAAUUCUAUAGAAACGAGGACUCCCAAUUUUCUCCAGUGCUACUCAGAAUUCUCCUCUAUCCUGCAACAUCGAUGCUGAAGGAUGAUGAUUGAUAUGGCCAACAAACUCGAAUCCCCAGAGGCUGAAUAAUGGCUGCGUAUCAUAAAUGAAAGGCAUGCUAGUAGAGAACAACUAGAAGAAAUUAAGGCGUGGCUAGUUUUGCAUCGACAUUCUACUAAAACACGGAACGCACAGGGAGGACUGGCUUCCAAUCGUUUACGAAAACUGGUCCCAAAAUUCAGCAGAAGCACAUCAAUUUAUGAUGGACCAGGAAGCACAAUAAUUUAGAAUGGACCUGGGAACCGUCCAUCCGUCCUGGUCCAUUCUAAAUUAUUGUGCUUCCUGGUCCAUCAUAAAUUGAUGUGCUUCUGCAGAAUUUUGGGACCAGUGCUCGAGUGUCGGAUCAAUUCAGUGGUCAUUGAAGAAGGAGCAAUAGCAAAGGUAGAAACCCCAAGAGUCCUACCAGCUGAAGCACUGAUAACAACUCUGGACUCAACUUUAACUGACUCUCAUCCGUCACGUUGUCUAGUUUCUCCAUAGUUAUCGCCUUAAUCUCAUUUCUUGUAGAACCAAGGGAUUUGUCGGGUGCCUUCGAUAAUAAAGCAUGUGAGAAAUCAUAUGCAGUAGUGUCAAGUUUUAAGCUGAUAUGUAUUUUUCUUGAUGUUGUUCAUUUUACUCUUGUGCUUGUAUUCAUCGUUCACCAUAUAAUGUACGUUCAAUUCGGGCCAUCGUCCAAUCAAAUGAAUUGCUAUUUACAAGGGAAAUUGUAUUG